UAUCUCUGUAGAGUCUGCAUAUCAAUAAGCGGAGGAAAAGAAACUAACAAGGAUUCCCUUAGUAACGGCGAGUGAAGCGGGAAGAGCUCAAAUUUGAAAUCUUCAAGGUUCUACCUUGACGAAUUGUAGUUUAAAGAAGUGUUUUCUGUUAGAUGAUUAGGCUAAAAGUUCCUUGGAAUAGGGACAUCAUAGAGGGUGAGAAUCCCGUAUUUGACUUAUUCAUUCUAGCGUUGUGAUACACUUUCGAAGAGUCGGAUUGUUUGGGAAUGCAGUCCAAAAUGGGUGGUAAAUUUCAUCUAAAGCUAAAUAUUGGCGAGAGACCGAUAGCGAACAAGUACCGUGAGGGAAAGAUGAAAAGAACUUUGAAAAGAGAGUUAAACAGUACGUGAAAUUGUCAAGAGGGAAGCGUUUGACACCAGUGUUGUUUUUCCGAAAAUCAAUUACGAAUGGCUUGAUUCUGUGUUGUAUUGACCUUAUCAGCUUUCUUCACUUUUUUCGAGUCUUUCUUAAUGCACCUUUCGGUUAACAAGUCAACAUCAAUUUCUUCUGUUGUAAAAGAGUAUUCGGAAGGUGGCUUUCUUUUCGGAGAAAGUGUUUAUAGCCCUAUACUUCUACAAUCGGAGAGAUUGAGGUCUGCAGCGUAGAUCCUUCGGGGUUAGAUACACUUGUGCUAAGUUGUAGCUUUUCAUAGACAACUUGUUGACUAUGUUUAGUCAUGUCGCUUACUCGCUUAUGCUAUUUUACCUACGCUUAGGAUGUUGAUCUGUAGUGCGUGCGC
rnacentral:rRNA from 1 species